UGAUAAAUAAUAGUUUGUUUCCUUAGAAUCAUCUUAGAGUAAACAAGUCAGAAAUGCAAGGUUCAUGAAUCAUCUGUAUGGAAAAUUCUAUCAUACAGUAUGUUGCACAUUUAUUUUGCUAGUACAAAAAAUCGUUCUAUUGUAUAUGGCAUUUUUUAUCUACGCCACUUGGUCUGUUACUCAUAGAAUCAAGGUAGCUUUUUAAUCCAUUCACAUUUUCCAUCAAUGCACUUAUGACGAUAAUUCUUGUUCCACAUCUUGAUCAUAGAUCUUGGACAAUCACCAUCAGUUUCACACUCAAUAGUUUCUGAAAAUUAAAAGAUAAUAAACUAAUGUUAAUAAAACAUGAUAAAUAAUUGUUUACAAACUAAGAAUGAAAGAAGGAAUCUUGAAAUUUCUGAAAUAAUGGCUUUUUUGGUCAGGUUGCCUAGUGGUUAAGUGGGGUGUCUGGAGUUUGAACCCCAGCUCCUGCAUAUAACAAUGCAUGUCCCUGUCAAUAUACUCACGGGCACUGAAAUAAUGGCUUACCAAGACCACCAACUUCCCUUGCAACAAGAAAUAAGAAAAGAAAAAGAAUUAUAGCGUAGACAAACUUGAGAACUCCAGACAUA
rnacentral:lncRNA from 1 species